GCCAGCAGGGGCAAAUUCCACUCCCUUGAACCCGCUGCGCUCCACCCCUCGUGGGAGGGGGAGCACAGGUGAGCAGGUACAGGAGGAGCUGGGGAAGCACUCUUGGGCACAUGCAGGAGUGAAUUCCGUACCGGCCCCACAGCAGCAUCAGCGGGGCGGGGGUGCCCACGACCCCCGAAGCCCCAGAGGAACUGUCACAGUACUCUUUUAGCUCUGCCCUCUGUGGAUGGCUUAAGUGUUAACAGCUCAGUGGACCCUAUGUCUUUUAGCAUAAGGCGGCUACCUUCUGCCAGCGAGGGCAAAGGGUCAGUGUGGCAGCCUUUUGCCUCCACACUCACUGCACCUGAGCUGUUGUCAAGCAUCCAGGAGAAAUGAAGUAGCACAAACGAAUUGGAGGAUGGUAAAUGUGGGGGAUUUUAUUGCUGUUGGACGUGGCUCUCAGAGGGAAGAGGAGCUGAAAAGCAGACAGAGAAGGAAGGUAAUCUUCCCUCAAAGUCCAGCUGUCUCCUGGGAUUCUUCUUGAAAUUUACACCGUCGAGCUGUCCCUCUGAAAGACACGGACACUUCGGAAAGCGUUCUGCGGACAGUUAUCAAGAUGAUGAAUUGCAGUGAACACCAAGACACAAAAGCAAAGACUUGGAACCAACCGAAACAUCCAUCAAUGAUAGACUGAAUAAAGAAAAUGUGGCACAUAUACACCACGGAAUACUUUGCAGCCAAAAAAAAGGACGAGUUUAUGUCCUUUGCAGGGACAUUAAUGAAGUUGGAAACCAUCAUUCUCAUCAAACUAACAGAAGAACAGAAAACUAAACACCGCAUGUUCUCAUUCAUAAGUGGAAGUUCAACCAUGAGAACACACGGACACAAGGAGGGGAAUAUCACACACCGGGGCCUAUCGGGGGGUGGCAGGCUUGGGGAGGGAGAGCAUUAGGGGAAAUACCUAAUAUAGAUGACGGGUUGAUGGGAGCAGCAAACCACCAUGGCACGUGUAUACCUAUGUAACAAACCUGUAUGUUCUGCACAUGUAUUCCAAAACUUUAAAUGUAAUAAAACAAUUUAAAAAUGUGUUCAAU
rnacentral:lncRNA from 1 species